GUUUGUACACAAUGGAUGAGAAGCUCUUUGUUGCUGCUCGUACAGGGAAUGUGGCAACCCUGCACAAUUUGCCAGAAAAUAAUCCAGCUGAUGGGGAAAAACCCUUACCAAAGAGCUCCAGGUGGACGCCUUUACAUAUAGCUUUGCUUGUCUGGGAAAGUUGAUUUCGCCAGGGAGUUUUUAAGAAGGCGUCCACAAUUUCUUAAACAUGAGAAUCCUGAGGGUUGCAAUGCUGGGCAUGAUUAAAGUACAUGGACACCAAUUCCUGUACUCUGUCAAACUCAACAGCUACUAACCUACUCCAUUGUUAGUUCAUUACGAUAAUCUCUCUCUCUCAAUUGUAAUCAG
rnacentral:misc_RNA from 1 species